UUAGAAAAAUAGAAAGAAUAGGAAAAAUAAUGGCAGAAUCACUGGCUGUAGGGUUAACCAAGUGUUUCUUACCUCUUUGAUGUUUUUUUUUCCCAGUUAAUGGAGUAGACUGAAUAAUCCGGAUAUGAGAAAUUAAUAGGCUGAAGUGCACCAGUCCAUACGCAAAGGCAAGAGUAAGAUCUGUUACCCAGUAUGGAGCAGCUGGUCAUGUUAUGUGGGUCCAUUUCCCUUCCAUGGAUGUGCUUCGUUUCUCCAUCAUCUCUGAGUCUUGAUCCCCAUUACUUUAUGGAUACUCCUGAAGAGGUGGAGCACAUAGAACUAAAAUCAACUGAAAAGCACAUUGCCUGCAAAUGGAUAGCUUGGGACUUUGCUGAGAUAGAUGUCUGUCUUUCACAAAGUGGAAGCAGCCUGGACUCUUGGCAGAAACC